GGCAAGUCAUCCGCUCGUGCUGAUUACGUCCCUGCCAUGUGUACA
rnacentral:rRNA from 1 species